rnacentral:rRNA from 1 species
UACGUAGGGUGCAAGCGUUAUCCGGAAUUAUUGGGCGUAAGGAGCUCGUAGGCGGUUUGUCACGUCUGCUGUGAAAACUGGAGGCUCAACCUCCAGCCUGCAGUGGGUACGGGCAGACUAGAGUGCGGUAGGGGAGAUUGGAAUUCCUGGUGUAGCGGUGAAAUGCGCAGAUAUCAGGAGGAACACCGAUGGCGAAGGCAGGUCUCUGGGCCGAUACUGACGCUGAGGAGCGAAAGCGUGGGGAGCGAACAGG